UGGCAGGGCUUGAAUUGAUGAACUGUGAGCCAAAACCAAGAGUUGGACGCUUAACCUACUGAGCCACCCAGGUGCUCCCUGCCACCACUGCCUUGUUUUUUAAAGUUUUUACAAUGUAUUUAGAUAAUCAGGAGAGACUUAAUGGAAUAAGUAAAAUUAAUCAGAGAUUCAAGGAAGGUGAACUCUCAAUAGGGUGAAAAGUGGGGGGCAGGGGGGUAGGCAGAGCACUGGUGAGAAAGUAUUUCUUUACUCCAAGUACAAGAGAAGCUGUCAGGCUUGGGGGUAGAGGUGGUGGCAUUGGGAGACAAACACACAGGCUUGAUUAAAGUGAGGGAUAGAGGUUUGGCAACAAAAGGAAGCAAAGCCUGGGAAUUUGAAAAAAGUUAAGGUGUUUAGACUCUAUUUUGAGGCCCAUCCACCGUGAGGAGCUUGGUUUUCUGUAUAAGGAUUCAGGCAACAUAGAUUCAGUCCCAGGUCCGCUACAUCCAAACAACAUGUUACUUAGUGAUUUAACUUUUCCGAGCCUCAGUUUCCCUUCUAUACAAUGGAGAUUUUAUCUACCAAGCACAGUUGUGAAGUCUGCACAAAAUAACAUUUUCAUUGUCACAUUAGCUGUCACUUCCUCUCUAGUAAAUGGGCGGGGCAGGGAGGCUUGUGAAGAGGAAAAUGACAUUAUUUAAAGGGAUGGAUGUGACAUUAUGGGAAUGCCAAUUUUGUGAGGGUGUGCAGGAUGAACUGAGGAAGGGGAGCGUGUGUGUGUGUGUGUGUGUGUGUGUGUUAGAGGUGGGGGGAACCAGGAACAUGAGCUUGUUAGACCACAUAGAAAGACACAGGGCCCUGAACUAGCCAUACUGGCUAUGGCCACAUCAGCCGAAAUGAUGAAGUGAAUAUCAGGAGGAGGAAUGAAGCAUUUGGUGAAGAUAGAGCCACAUAUAAAAAAUGAAAUCCAGAAGAAAAAUUUCUUGAUUUCAGGAUGAAAAAAGCAGCAUACUAGUAAAAGAAAGUACUGAGGAAAAGUGUCUAAUGGACACUUGAUUUUUUUUGUUUCUGUUUUAUUUUUUUGGUUUGCUUAGUGUCCUAACCCACUGUUUCAGGUUAGCUGCCCUAUUCUCUCUGGAUAGAUCCUUUUUCUGGCAAAUCAGAGUCCUUCAUUUUCUUGGCACAAGGACUGGCCUGGAGAAGCUAAAAGGAUAUCAGUCUGGAGAAAGCUGAGGGUAGACAAAUAAGAAGCCAAUUGGAGACCAGAGGAAAUGAGGGAAGCAGAAGAACAGACUAACAGAAGGAAUGAUCUGAGGUGAAUGUAUAGGGUUAGAGUGUGCUUUUUGGCACAGACCCUUGUGCCUGAUGCUGCCCUGGAGCCAACUGGAAGCAGAUGGUCCUGCUGACGACGGGUCAGAAGGUCAGUGGUCACCUACCUCUACGUCACAAUCCUGCAUCCUUCACCCGACUUCUCAUCACAGAGGCAUUUUCUCAUCUCACAUCAUCACAAGUAGGGGCUCAUGAAAGAUACAAGCUCAAGACAAAAGAGAACAAGAAAACCUUGGAACCAGAUUUCUGGUCACAAUAAAGAAAUUACUUUGA